ensembl:misc_RNA Metazoa_SRP Metazoan signal recognition particle RNA
GCCGGGUGUGGUGGCUCACGCCUGUAAUCCCAGCACUUUGGGAGGCUGAGGCAGGUGGAUUACCUGAGGUCAGGAGUUCAAGACCAGCCUGGCCAACAUGGUGAAACCCUGUCUCUA